GCUGCGGGCCUCGCUACAUAGCUAUAUCCUGGAUUGCCGCUACCGCAUAGUCGGAAUUUUGAUGAUUUGAUAUGUCAGGCAUACUACUUGGACAUGCAGCAUCCUAAUACCAUUCGGGGCGAAUGUUACACGAACUCCCGAGCUCUGAAAUGUUUUGCAUUCUUGUUAAAGUGUUAUUGUAUCUCUUAGAUAUUGAAACGGGAUAUAUGAAAUAGCUUGCUCCGAUAUAUAUUAUGAUUAUGUCAAUGCAACUAAUGGGUAUGUGGAAGCAGACAAUACAAGAAAGAAGUGAAAAGGAAAUGGGUUACAUCCUCCCCAUUUCGAUAUCUGGCUCCCUCUUGCGCUCUGCAGAUGGAGCAGGAUUUCUCGACGACGGCCCGCCCAUGUGAGUUCGUGCUGGUUGUGGUCGAGAAGGUGAGUCGUUUCUUGGUGGAGAAGACUUAAGUCCUGAAUUUUUAGUUGUUGGUCGUGUGUCGUGACUGGUAUCAAUACGCGCAGACUCGUGCAGUGGUAAACCUGUACGCUUAAGGUUUUCCUCCCCGCGCUCUUUCAGCAGAUUUUCGAGGAGGACGGCGUUCCGGGUAUUGCAUUUAUAGACAGCAUCUGCAAGGUCGCCGAUGAAAGGAAUCAAGCCGAUGAAGAAAUCGAUAACGACAUUGAAGAGCAUCCACAUUCGAAGGCGCGCAGGGAGACCGCCUUCUAUUUUGUUACAAGUGUUUACCACCAUCAGGGCCAUAAACAUAUCAAGUGCAUCACCGAUUCUGAUUUUAACAAUGGAGCGGAGAUCAAUUAGAUGCUUUUUCGCCUUGACACAGGGUGGUAUUGUUUGAAGGGGAGCAUUUUGUAAAAGCACAUACGCCGGAACAAGACCAAUGACACUGCUCCAUCCGAAGCGAAUUCCGCAGAAAUUGAAAAGGCAGAGGUCCAAUCUAUAUGCCCGCCGCUUCACCUUGAGACGACGCCAGCGAUCUGAGCGGCCAUUUCUCUGAAGCCACUGUAUAUUUGCUUGAAUGAACGGGAGUAUUGAUGUGGGUUAGGAUUAAAUGGAGUGAUAUUAAAAAAGAUAGGGAAAAUGGCGUAGUAAAGAACCAAAGAUGCUAUGAAUCCAGAGGAUAAAAAAUUAUAUAAAAAAAAAAAAAAAGGACGGAAGAGGAAUUCAACUGUAAAUAAAUAAAGAAUGACAGAAAAGAUCAAAGGAAAGGUACUUGUGAGAACUGGUUGUUGCUUGUGGAAAUGAGGCGGCCA
rnacentral:sRNA from 1 species